rnacentral:sRNA from 1 species
GUGUAAACGGGAUGACAGCGGUAUCUUCCGAUUUUUCAUCGGGAAUUUAGCGAACAGCCUGGCUGAAG